GGGACCAUAGCUCAACUGGCCAGAGCGCCCGCCUUGCAAGCGGGAGGUUAGGGGUUCGACUCCCCUUGGCUCCA
rnacentral:tRNA from 1 species